CAAUAGCGUAUAUUAAUGUUGCUGCAGUUAAAAAGCUCGUAGUUGAAUCUUGGAGAAGUUCGUAGCCAGGUCCGCCUCAAAUGGCGAGUACCGGUUGCGUCUCUCUAUAUCUGGUAACAACAUACUAUCAUGCUUAACUGUGUGGUAGUUUCGGGAAGAGGAGACUCGACUCGAAGGUUGGGAGCAUUGUUGGGGCCAGGGGAUUAAACUCCUUUGGUCACGGGGUGUUUCUGGCAAUGUUUUACCUAUUUUACUUUGAAAAAAUUAGAGUGUUCAAAGCAAGGCGUUAGCCUAUUGAAUAUUGCAGCAUGGGAUAAUGGAAAAAGAUAGUCUGUCUUAUUUUGUUGGUUUUUUAAGAUGACAAUAAUGAUAGAAGGGGAUGGUUGGGGCGGUCUGUAUUGUCACGUCAGAGGUGAAAUUCUUAGAUUGUGGCAAGACAAACUACUGCGAAAGCUUUCCGCUAGGACAUAUUCAUCAA
rnacentral:rRNA from 1 species